rnacentral:rRNA from 1 species
CGAGUGGCGGACGGGUGAGUAAUGUCUGGGAAACUGCCCGAUGGAGGGGGAUAACUACUGGAAACGGUAGCUAAUACCGCAUAACGUCGCAAGACCAAAGAGGGGGACCUUCGGGCCUCUUGCCAUCGGAUGUGCCCAGAUGGGAUUAGCUAGUAGGUGGGGUAAAGGCUCACCUAGGCGACGAUCCCUAGCUGGUCUGAGAGGAUGACCAGCCACACUGGAACUGAGACACGGUCCAGACUCCUACGGGAGGCAGCAGUGGGGAAUAUUGCACAAUGGGCGCAAGCCUGAUGCAGCCAUGCCGCGUGUAUGAAGAAGGCCUUCGGGUUGUAAAGUACUUUCAGCGGGGAGGAAGGGAGUAAAGUUAAUACCUUUGCUCAUUGACGUUACCCGCAGAAGAAGCACCGGCUAACUCCGUGCCAGCAGCCGCGGUAAUACGGAGGGUGCAAGCGUUAAUCGGAAUUACUGGGC